rnacentral:rRNA from 1 species
GACGAACGCUGGCGGCGUGCUUAACACAUGCAAGUCGAACGGAAAGGCCCUGCUUUUGUGGGGUGCUCGAGUGGCGAACGGGUGAGUAACACGUGAGUAACCUGCCCUUGACUUUGGGAUAACUUCAGGAAACUGGGGCUAAUACCGGAUAGGAGCUCCUGCUGCAUGGUGGGGGUUGGAAAGUUUCGGCGGUUGGGGAUGGACUCGCGGCUUAUCAGCUUGUUGGUGGGGUAGUGGCUUACCAAGGCUCUGACGGGUAGCCGGCCUGAGAGGGUGACCGGCGACAUUGGGACUGAGAUACGGCCCAGAAUCCUACGGGAGGCAGCAGUGGGGAAUAUUGCACAAUGGGCGGAAGCCUGAUGCAGCAACGCCGCGUGCGGGAUGACGGCCUUCGGGUUGUAAACCGCUUUCGCCUGUGACGAAGCGUGAGUGACGGUAAUGGGUAAAGAAGCACCGGCUAACUACGUG